GCAAGUCGAGGGGCAGCACAGGGUAGCAAUACUGGGUGGCGACCGGCAAACGGGUGCGGAACACGUACGCAACCUUCCUUCAAGAGAUGGAUAGCCCGAAGAAAUUCGGAUUAAUACAUCGUAAAAUCACAGAGUGGCAUCACUUAAUGAUUAAAGAAUUUCGCUUGAAGAUGGGCGUGCGCCUGAUUAGGUAGUUGGUGAGGUAACGGCUCACCAAGCCGACGAUCAGUAACUGGCGUGAGAGCGCGACCAGUCACACGGGCACUGAGACACGGGCCCGACUCCUACGGGAGGCAGCAGUAAGGAAUAUUGGUCAAUGGACGGAAGUCUGAACCAGCCAUGCCGCGUGAAGGAUGAAGGCCCUCUGGGUCGUAAACUUCUUUUAUCUGGGACGAAAUCACCUUUUUCUAAGGGUGUUGACGGUACCAGAGGAAUAAGCACCGGCUAACUCCGUGCCAGCAGCCGCGGUAAUACGGAGGGUGCAAGCGUUAUCCGGAUUCACUGGGUUUAAAGGGUGCGUAGGCGGAUUUGUAAGUCCGUGGUGAAAUCUCCAGGCUUAACCUGGAAACUGCCAUGGAUACUAUAAAUCUUGAAUGUUGUGGAGGUUAGCGGAAUAUGUCAUGUAGCGGUGAAAUGCAUAGAUAUGACAUAGAACACCAAUUGCGAAGGCAGCUGGCUACACAAAUAUUGACGCUGAGGCACGAAAGCGUGGGGAUCAAACAGGAUUA
rnacentral:rRNA from 1 species